AGAACACCACUGCAAUCCAUUGCUCUGGAACCAUUUCAUCCUCAUUUGUUUUUCGGAUGUGGAGCUACCUUCACGAGUGCAGCGGAUAAUGGAGGUUCCUCUGACAUGUUAAAUCAGUGAAUCAGACUGAAGAGGUUAAGGGUGCCAAUCUAUGAUGCUGUGAGUGGAAAGAUGGGGCGGAAUGCUGAAUGGACAAGACAUGAGAGUAGACGAACGAGCAAUCGAGAUGGACGGUCAGUGUGGAGACUGUUGUAUAUCCCUCUGAAAGCCCAUGUGUGUGCGGCCAGACUCAAAUAUCACAUUAGGAAAUGUCAAUCAGUUCAUCAGUGGCUUUGUCUCUCCUCUGAGCUUCGCUUUCCCCCACUGACUUAAUGGUAAAAGCAGAAAAUCUGAAAUGUCUGACUCAGUUGGCACAGCAUCAGGGGGCAAUCAGUCACUUUAUGUUACAUCACGGAUGGUAGGUCAAGUAGAACAGACCCAAUAGCUUCACUGACUGCUGGCCAAAGUAGAGUUUCAGCCAUUCUUCACCUUGCUAGGAAUUGCUAAAAUAAACAGUUGUAAAGACAUUCAGUCUCAAUAAUCAGUUGAGAAUAUCAAACGUGGUUUAAUUUAGAAUUUAUUUACUUCCUUUUAUUGCAUUUAUUUAACAUUUCAAUGCAGUAAAGUGUGUAUUCUUUAA